rnacentral:rRNA from 1 species
UACGUAGGGUGCAAGCGUUGUCCGGAAUUAUUGGGCGUAAAGAGCUCGUAGGCGGUUUGUCGCGUCUGCUGUGAAAACUCGGGGCUUAACCCCGGGCCUGCAGUGGGUACGGGCAGACUAGAGUGCGGUAGGGGAGACUGGAAUUCCUGGUGUAGCGGUGAAAUGCGCAGAUAUCAGGAGGAACACCAAAGGCGAAGGCAGUGUCCUGGGGAGUACCUGACGCUCAGGUGCGAAAGCCAGGGAGCGGAACGGGAUUAGAUGACCGAGUAGUACC